rnacentral:rRNA from 1 species
AGAGUUUGAUCCUGGUUCAGGAUGAACGCUAGCUACAGGCUUAACACAUGCAAGUCGAGGGGCAGCGGGAUUGAAGCUUGCUUCAAUUGCCGGCGACCGGCGCACGGGUGAGUAACGCGUAUCCAACCUUCCGUACACUCAGGGAUAGCCUUUCGAAAGAAAGAUUAAUACCUGAUGGUAUGAUGAAAUUGCAUGAUAGCAUCAUUAAAGAUUUAUCGGUGUACGAUGGGGAUGCGUUCCAUUAGGUAGUAGGCGGGGUAACGCCACUAGCCUACGAUGGAUAGGGGUUCUGGAGAGGAAGGUCCCCCANAUUGGAACUGAGACACGGUCCAAACGUCCUACGGGAGGCA